UGCCCCAUGGCUGAGUUGGUUACAGCGUCCGACUGUUAUUCUCAUCUUGCAGAGCGAUGAUGAUCGGAAGGUCGUGAGUUCGAGCCUCACUGGGGCAG